rnacentral:rRNA from 1 species
GACGAACGCUGGCGGCGUGCUUAACACAUGCAAGUCGAACGGUAAGGCCCUUCGGGGUACACGAGUGGCGAACGGGUGAGUAACACGUGGGUGAUCUGCCCUGCACUUCGGGAUAAGCCUGGGAAACUGGGUCUAAUACCGGAUAGGACUCCGGACUGCAUGGUCUGGGGUGGAAAGCUUUUGCGGUGUGGGAUGGGCCCGCGGCCUAUCAGCUUGUUGGUGGGGUGAUGGCCUACCAAGGCGUCGACGGGUAGCCGGCCUGAGAGGGUGACCGGCCACACUGGGACUGAGAUACGGCCCAGACUCCUACGGGAGGCAGCAGUGGGGAAUAUUGCACAAUGGGCGCAAGCCUGAUGCAGCGACGCUGCGUGAGGGAUGACGGCCUUCGGGUUGUAAACCUCUUUCAGCAUCGACGAAGCGAAAGUGACGGUAGGUGCAGAAGAAGGACCGGCCAACUACGUGCCAGCAGCCGCGGUAA